rnacentral:rRNA from 1 species
CACGUAGGGUGCGAGCGUUGUCCGGAAUUAUUGGGCGUAAAGAGCUCGUAGGCGGUCUGUCGCGUCUGCUGUGAAAACUCAGGGCUUAACCCUGAGCUUGCAGUGGGUACGGGCAGACUAGAGUGCGGUAGGGGAGACUGGAAUUCCUGGUGUAGCGGUGAAAUGCGCAGAUAUCAGGAAGAACACCCGUGGCGAAGGCGGUUCUCUGGGACGGUACUGACGCUGGAGACGCGAAAGCGUGGGAGCGAACAGG